rnacentral:rRNA from 1 species
UUAGGAAAUUUUGCCAAUGGGGGAAACCCUGAGCGAGUAACGCCGCGUGAAGGACGAAGGCCUUCGGGUCGUAAACUUCUUUUCUGUGGGACGAUAGUGACGGUACCACAGGAAUAAGCCCCGGCUAACUACGUGCCAGCAGCCGCGGUAAUACGUAGGGGGCGAGCGUUGUCCGGAAUUACUGGGCGUAAAGAGCGCGUAGGCGGCAUGAUAAGUUCCGUGUGAAAGCCCCCGGCUCAACUGGGGAGGGUCGCGGAAAACUGUCAAGCUGGAGUGUUGGAGAGGGAAGUGGAAGUCCCGGAGUAGGGGUGAAAUCCGUAGAUACCGGGCCGAACACCAGUGGCGAAGGCGACUUCCUGGCCAACGACUGACGCUGAGGCGCGAAAGCGUGGGGAGCGAACGGGAUUAGAUACCCCCGUAGUCC